AGUGACGCAUUUUUUUAAAUCAAGCACGUAAAUAUUACCCUUAAAAUGUUAAUCUUUAGAAUACGCUUCCAAAUAUAGUAUUAAUUGGAUAUAACGACAAAAAUGAGCGGAGAAAUGUUUUGUAUUAUCUGCCGUCUUCGAUUUAAUUAAAUAAAUAACUUGAAAAUGACCGUUAAUGUUAAGAUACUUUCAAAAUUUACAAUAAAAAGAGGGAUUUGUCUCUGUUUUGCAGGCCUUUGUUUGGAGAUGUUUUCUGGUUAUCAAUGAUAAAAAUCUAACACUCAAAAUAUAAUCAGAUACUUGUGGAAACCUCCAAACCGUAAGAAAGAGGAGGCGGGGACUCUCUCUCCUCUCUUUUAGAGAGAGGAUUUUCUUUCUAUUUUCCUUGUUCUCAAAUUUAAUCUUUCACAAGGAGUAGAGAUAAGAGAGUUUUUCAGAUCGGUUUUUGCUUUCGGUGUCGCACUAUCUCCAUCGGUGGUCGGACGGCUCUGUCUCCAGGUAGCGGUGGCUCGUUCAGCACCAGCUUCGCCGGCUUUUGUCUCCGGGAGACGGUGGCUUCGUCAGCAUCGUUCUCGCCGGCUAUCCUCCAGGUGAUCCCGGUUUCAUCUUGAUAUGCGUCUCCGAUCUUCCUUCGUUCACUGUCUCUCGAUUCGUUUCUCUGAUGUUCUUUCCCUAAUUGUUUUUGGUUGUUGUAUCUUCAAGCUUUUAUGUAUCUAUAAAGAUGUCCGAUUGAGUUUGCAAGAAAGUCAGAGGGUUUCAAUCGAUUGUAUAGGCGGUUGUUGUUACUUCUUUGUUUCGCAGAUCCGCUAGUCUGUCUCCUCGGUUCGAGCUUCGUGUAAGCCGCUCUGGUUGAUCGGUUUCCGUUGCUUUGAUUCCACCGUCGGCGGAGCUCCGUCGCGACCUUCUCUAGCUCCGGUGGAAGCAUAUGGUAUUUCUGACGCGUGUUCAUUGAUCGUUGGGCAAUCGGACGCAUGGUGUGCGACGUGUCUCUUCUUCCUCAACGGAUUCCCCUUGUUUGGGCUUUGCCCCAUAGGGUAGUUUACGUUCUACGGCCCGCGUGUUGGGCUUUAUCUUCGGCCAGUUCCUUUGGCCUUUCAUUUGUAAAUUUGUUGGGUUGUUGCCUCUGUUGGACUUAAAUCCAUUUAAUAAAAUUCCAGUGAAAAAAAAAUCAGAUACUUGCAUGUAUAUUGAUAUUUUCAAAUUUUCAAAUUUUCAAAUGAUGGAAUAUGGAAAAAGACAAAUAACAUGUGCUUGUGAAUUAUUUUUUCGUAUUGAUCAGUUCAAGUAGUCGAUAAAAUUAUAAAUAUAACUUUUUUUUGGUAAGAAUGUAAAGAUAUUAUUACCAAACGUUUACGAUUUUGAAACAAAUUAUAGAGGUAACCAGAAACAGAGAAAACAAAAAUAAAAAUCUAAACAUCGACUCGAACUAGUUAACACGGAACAGACAAACACAACAACCAAAACCGCUAUCCUAAAUCUCCACUAAGUCCGCAACAACAGCUUGCCGCAAAAAAAAAUGAGCCAAGUUCAAUCGAGAGUCGGGACCCCAGUAAUUUUAGCCUCCCCGGUGAUCUGCUCUUAAAGAUAAUGACUCAUCCAAGAAGGCUUCAUAGCAGUAAACCACACAAACAAACAGUAUCAGCAGAGGCCUAACCUUCUGCAACAACCAAGUCCGAGCAUUUAUUACGUCCGAGAACGGCUUGUACACAAUGCUGCUCCGAGCUAAACGGGUUGCUCCCUUCGUACCUCCCACACCGAGCCCAGCCUGCACACAAUUGUCAAGCACACCACCACACAAAGCUCAAGCAAACCUAUGUGAUGUUGGGAUGUGAGCGAAGACCGAGCGUUAGGAAGUGGCGGUCAAUGACCCGAGAACCACCACACGCCCAUCACCGCCGAGAACCGACGAACUGAAAUUGGAGACGCUAGAACCGUUUCAUUCCAAGAACGGGAAUAAGAGAACAAGGCACAAUACAACGGAAUAGGAGCUGCGAAGAGGAGGACCGAAGGUGAGGAGGCCAAUCAGAAGGCCACUCAAGCGGCAUAGACGACCGCUCUUUAAACCUCUAACAUGACCAACGCGAUCCUGCCAGAGAGCUUAGACACCAACCCAUCUGCGUGUUGAAGCUCACGAACUCGCCGCCGUGGUAGAGAAACCCACCAGCACACACCACACUAAGGAGGAGAACUCUCACGUUCGAGAAACCAACGAGAGCCACCCUCCAGAGCCUAAAGACCCCUGGCCAGGAACAGCGAACCGCCGAAGACCGGGAACACACAUAGAUGCGCUCCUUCUCACAGACAGAGUAAGUCGGUCGAGAUCUGCUAGAGAGAAAAUUGAUCUCCACCAAACCCUAAAAUCCAACUACAACCACCACCAAGUGGCGGACCCAGCAUGCAAUUUGUGUGGGGUCAGAAUAUAAAUAACACUGUAAAGUUUUUAAGAAAAAUAUUAAGGUGUCACUGGGUUGAAUCGAACCCAAUAUUUGUGGGUUCAUAAGUGCACUUUCUUACCACUAAGCCACAGUUUAUUAAUAAAAAACCAGCUCACAAACUAAAAUUUAUAGCAUUUAUGUGGUGUCAGUUGACCCCACACUCUUUCAAGUGGGUCCGCCCCUGCCACCACCUACUUCUCGACCUUCUCGCCAUAGUUCCAGAGAUACCUGAUGAACCACCGUAAUCAAACCCCUCUGCAGCGGAGCAUUUUCCGGGGUCAAACCCUAACCCAAAACUACAAACAUAUCGAAAGAGAGCAAGGCAGAUGGAGCGGCAACAAAGUGAGAAGAGACAGCUAGAUGAAGGAGCCUCUGGUCGCCGGAACGCGCCACCAGGCGCCAUCCGGACUGGGGGAAAUGAGCUUCAACAAUGACGUCUGCAACAGAUAAGGUGGAGAGAGAAGAGAGCGUCUUUACGACAUUACUUGAACAUGAUUAAAAGGUAAUUAUAAAUUAUAAAUGUAACUUAAGCGAACUCCACUGAAUGCUUAUACGAACAUAACAUAUUAGUAUUUUUUCAGCCCUCAAGUCUUAAGCUUUUAAAAUGAUCAUGUCAAGCUUCCUUUUUGACGACACAUAUUUAGUUAGGUUAUAUAUAUAUGAAGGCUACAUCUCUAUAUAAAAUAAGUUAUAAGCAAUAUAAAAGAAGUUAAUGUUCAAUAUAUAUAUAUAUAAGAAGUUAUUUAUGUUGCGCUUUGAAAGGUCUAAUUGAGCUUGAUCGUGGCCAAACGGAUAUGUGAGUAUAAAAAAGCCUUACACGCAAAAACACAACACGUCUAUACACACACACAUACAUACGGGCCUACUAACAGGGCCGGCUCUUACCCAUGGCAACAUGGACAUUCGCUGUGGGUCUAUGGGUCCAAAUAUUUUUUGUGUUGUUUUAAAGGUCUAUUUCAAUCUGUUAAAUUAUCAAAAAGAUUCGUAAUUAAGUAAACCUAAUUUUUUUAUUACAAGACAAAACAAUAAGAAAUCUGUACAUUCACUAUUAGUUUUGGGAUAUUUUUUUCUAUUUGUUUCAGGUAAUGUUUUGAAAACCGAACCGGACGUUGACUCGACAUUGUAAUUGGGUCAAUGGUCGGACCGGUCCAACCAGUUCAACUGGGUUUUAAAUUUUAAUUAAAUUUUAUAUUAAGUAACUCUUAUAUUUAUAACAUAAAAUUAUUUUUAUAAAAUUUUAUAUAAUUUUUAGAAUUUAAAAAUGAUAUAAAAACAAAAUUAAAAAAAUAUAUAAAAUAAUGAAAAUAAUUUAUUUCGAUAGAUACUUAGAAAAAAAUAUGAAUUUUUUAUGAAAUCUUUUUAAAUUUUCAGUUUAAAAAAAUACUUGAAUUUGAAAAAAACAUGGUCUUAAUAUGGAACCAGAUCACCGGUUUUAACGAGUUUUACCGGUUUUUUACCGGGUUUGCCGGUUUUACUCAAAUCCGGUUUUUAGUAUAACUCAAAACCAGAUAGAUGGCCGAGUCAUGGUCUGGCCGGUCCAAUCGGCCGGUCUAGUCCAGGCAUUCGAUCUGGUCUAGUUUUCAAAAUACUAGUUUCAGGUAUUAGAAUUCAAUUUAAAAGAAAUGCACUGAAGAAAAAUAUAGAGAGUAUUUAUAAAAGAAUCUAUAUUUCAUGUUUCGCUCAGAGCUAUUAUAUUAGUUAAGACGGCACUAGCUACUGCAUCGACAUACAAAAAUUUAUUUAAAGCAUCGACACAAAUUUGUAUAAUUUUUUUUGCUAAAUGACAACUUUGCAUAAUUGAGAUAUAUACAAUUACAUACACUAAUUAAUAUAUGAGUAACGUUUUGUAAGAUCAGUCGUGACAUGGUCUUCACAAAAGAGAAGCCGGCAGUGGCGUAUCUUCGUCCUUGAAUUAUAUAUAAGACCAACCAUUCUUAGAAAAUCUAAAAACAAAACGUUUAUCCACUUAUUUGGUCCCUUCAAAAAUAAGAGAAGAACGAAAUGAAUGUAACUUUCACUAUGCAUGUACUCCUCUUAUUAUGUGCAUUCCCCUCAUUCAUUAUCAUCUGCAUCAAUCUGAAAUGCUACAUGCACUAGUGAUCAGGGGCGGAUGCAGAAUCAUAUUUAAAUGGGGGUACACGUUCUUAUUUCAUUAUGUUUAAUUGUAGAAUUAGAGAGCAUUUCUUGUAUUGAUAGUAACUACUGAAGGAAAAGAAAAAAAUAGAUGGGGGCACGUGACCCCGUUGCUCCUCACUUGCGUCCGCUACUGCUAACGAUUGUGGAUAGAAGUUGGAGAAGCAUAUGCCUUAAACUCUCUUACAAUCGGUAAAAAAAAACUAAUAAAUGUUAAACUGUAAAAUAAAAUAAUAUAUACAAAAGGUCAUAUUAAAGAUCACUUACUAUUAUAAGGAAGAGGUAUAUAAUCAAAUAUAUAGUUAAACUUUUGAGAUUUGUUUACAGUUAGUAGUUAGUAUACAUAUAUAAUACUGUAUUUUCGUAAUGGUUAUUAAAUAUCACUUCUGAUAUACGAGAAGUAUAUACACUAUAAAGUCUUGUAAAAACUACUGUAAAAGUAAUAUCAAAUAUGGAUAAGGUGAGUCACUGCCACGCAUGUUGUCGAGUACGUACGGUUAAGAAGCCCCAUCAUUCUUUAUGGCUCCGAAUGGUAACUACAGUUUGAGCAAUGCGGGACAAGCGGUUUAACUGCGGUACGGUUUUAACAGUUAUAAAAACGUAUAGAUAUAUGGUAUAUGUAGAGAUUUUUGUUACUGUUAACUGCGGUGCGGGGCGGGGCGGUUCGUAACAUUCGAAGCCUAUGUUUUUUAAAAAACGUCACUGAUACGAGAUACGACUAUCAGUACUUUACUCCCUCUUUUUCACAUUAUAAGAUUUUUUUUUUUUUGGUAAUCUUUCACAUUAUAAGAUGUAAUGGAUAAAACACAAAGUUAUAAGAACAUCUUUAUCUAAAAUAUAUCAUUAAAAUACAAAUUAAAAAUUGAUUCAACCAAUCGUAAAAAGAUUGUAAGAUGUAAUCAGUUAAAUAAAGUUAAAGUUGCUUUUUUUUUUGAACGACCAUAAUAUUAAUUAGAAGAAGGGCCGUAGAAAGGCAGAGCAGAGUUUGAGUGGUACAAGGCUGAUUUCGCUAAAGAGUCAGCGUGGAGUUCAAGCUCCUAUGAAUGAAAACAAACAUAACUAAGGAAAAAGCAGAGGAUAGUGUCUCGAUGUCCAAGUUGAUCCCGUAGAGCACGACUGGAUGAUUCUUCGAGAUUAGUGCAUUGAUAAACACUUGAUUAUCUGACUUGAUGCAGAUUUUAGAGAGGUGGAAUGUUCUAGCCUGCAGGAGAGCUUCUCGGACUGCCAUGGCUUCAGCCAUAAGUGGUUAGACCACGAAGGCUUCUGAUGAUGUUCCGUGAUGAUGGGAACCGGUUUCCUGGUCUGUGUAGUACCAACCGCAUCCCGCUACCCUAUAGAUCUCCAUGCCGCAUCCGUGUACACAUCAAUAGUUCCCGCUAAUCGGUGUGGGUGUACUUGCCUUGUGAUGCUGUGUGACUGAUAUUGCGGCGUGUGGUGUUUUGAUUGCCACUCUCGGGCCAGACGAAUAGCUUUGUUCGCAAUAGCUUUUGGAGAAGGUCCAAGUUCUCGAAAAUCAAGGAGUUGCGUGAGGUCCAAAUGCUCCAAGCGAACCAUGGGAAUAGAGCCAAAGAUACACCCGUUGGGGGUAAAUUGGUGAGGUUGUUUCCUAGUUGCAGGGCCUGUUCGACGUUCAUAGUUGGAAGUAUAGUGAGGGGUGUUGUUGUUGGCAGAAAUUCCCAUACUCUCUUGGUGAAUCUGGAACUAUGGUGUCGCACUAUUUCUCCAUCAAACUAUUGCCUCGUUUCAUUUCCCCACCAAACGAAAGUUAAAUAUCUAUAUACCCACCAUAUCAAAGUUAAAUAUCUCUUUCCCCAUCCGACCAAUUUCGAUGGUUAAAUGUCGAAACCCCAGUACCAAACCAUCAAACCUCCGUUAGUAAACCGAAGGAAAACCCAAAUAUUGCUAAACCGGACCUAUAUCUCGGUGAUAACCCGACACAACGGUCAAAAAUCCCAAAUCUAAAAAAUCCCAAAUUGGUAAGAACCCUAGAAAAAACUGUAGAAUGUGAAUCUCAGAGUUCUUCUUCUUCUUUUCUUAUUGUCGAGUGCUUAUUGCUUUUUGUUCUUAAUCUCUUCUCACUUUGUGUUAAUUUUCAGAUCUAAAGCCAUGAGUAACGUGUCUGGAGCAUCUAGUGGUUCGUCAAGUGGACGUUCUGGAGGCAGAGUGUUUGGUGUGCCGAGACUUUGUCAUUGUGGGGUUCAAAUAAUGGAAUUGGUUUCUAAAUCCAGCAACAAUCCGUACCGGCGUUACUAUCGUUGCGGAUAUGCUGUAUCUAAGAAGGUAAUUUGAUUAAUCCUUGCUUCUUCUUCAUUGUAUUAGUUAAUGUUUUCUUUUCAUAAUUUUUUGUCUAAAUAAUGCACAGCUCUCGAAUGACAACCACACUUUCAAGUGGGUCGAUGAGGCUUAUUUAGAUGAGAUAGAGGCAUUAAAAAUGAAAAAUGCUUCACUUGCGGCAAAACUGGAGACAGUUACAAUGGAGAGGAAUGAGUUUGAGAGAAUAGUGUUUGAGAAUGUGCAAAUGAAGCUUGAGAAGGAGAUUUUCGAGAGAGUUGAAGAGGCUUUGGUUGAAUCAUCUUCUACGAUGAAGAAAAUGAUGGUUGUUGUAGUUGUUUUGUGUAUGGGCAUGGUUGGGUUUAGUAAGCUCUUUGGUUGAAAAGGUUUAUAUAGGAAUGACCUUUGUUUUAGUAAUCUUGUGUUUUGUGUGUUUGAUCAUUGUGGUUUGUGUACUUUGACAUGGUUUCAAUUUUAUUAAUGCAAUGACUUUGUCUAUUUUAAGAUGAUUGUUAAGCCUAUUUUAUUCAGUAGAAUGCAAUGAUUUUAAAGAAAAUAUACAAGCUUUUAGUUGCAGUAACAAAGAUAAUAUGAAGUGCAAAACAAAGAUAGAUAAAUGUCAUUACAUUACAUGGAUCCAAGACCAUUAAGUUCAAAACCACAGAUAUAUGUCAUUACAUAGCUGUCGAAAAUUAAGUUCAAAACAAAAGAUAAUAGAUGCCAUUACAUAUCAAAUCAUUCAAGCUUGAGAAACACUAGCUUGAGUGAGAGUUCCUUGUGAGGAUUCACCUGCAGUUUGAGAUGUGCUUACCGGUACCGAAUCAUCAUGCUUGCCCUGCUUUGCAUGCCACCUCGAGUUGUGAUUAGCCUUACCACAAAUGCCACAAUGCAUAGUCAUUUUCUUGGCUUUUGGUAGCUUCUUGGUUGGUGACUCAUUCACACCUCUUUUCCUUGUCUUAUCCGCUUUGGUGAGCUUCUUCUUCUUCUUCCCUGUUUCUUUCCCUCGUUCUCCCUCUGUUUCUUCCCCUUGUUCAUCCUCUACAGGUGGAGCAUGUACAUCAGGAGCAUCUGUUUUGGGCCAAAACAUAGAACCCCUGACUGGAACAAUUCCAUCUGUGUAGUUUCUUCUCCAUUUAGCCGUGCGAAACCACUCACAAACAUAGUCUGACGGAUCAACCUUUAACUUCAGCAUCACACCAUAUGCAUGCUUACAUGGAAUUCCAGUGAUGUCGAACUUCCUGCACGAACAAGUUCUUUUCUCCAAAUGGACACGAUAAGUUUGGCCAUUCAAUCUUGAGUCAAAGUAGCCUUUAACGCUUCUUCUAACAACACAUUUGUUGGCUCCGUCUUUAAGGGGCUUAUCAACAAGAGCCUUAGCGAGAACUCUCUGCACAUAUGGUGUACAUUUUCCUGACAAAGAGAGAGCCAAUUAAGUUAACUGAAUUUAUAUUUUUUAGAUAUUAGAAGUAUUGAAAAAAACUUACCUUGGUGUUCAUGAGAUUCUCUGGAUCUUGUGGCUAUACGUACCAUAGCAAGUCUUGCUAUUGUUUCGAGCAUAUGCACAAAUGGCUUCUCUCUUGCCUUGUUGAUGGAGCUGUUAAAGGACUCUGUCGAGUUGUUCUCCACAUCUUCGCAGUAAUUUCCCAGCUUGAAGAAAGCUCGGCACCAACUCUUCGGAUUUUUAGCCAUAACAUCUGUAUACACACAUGUAUCGUAGGAACUUAACCUGUCCAAGUUUUUCUGAUACUUUGCUUCAUUGUAGCUCCAUGCUACACUCCAUAUGUAAGACUUCAUCUGUUUUUUGUUGCCAUGUUUCUUCUUCAAAUUCCCGUAGAUGUGUCUUACACACUUCCGAUGCUCCAUCUUAGGCAACUCUAUCUUAAUAGGUCUGAUCAAUCCCUGAUACAGAACCACAAACUUAAUCAAACAACAACAUAAAGAAACAGUGAUUUCAACCAAAAAAAAAACAAAAAACUUACCGGGCUACGGUCUGAGACAGCAAUGUAGUUGUCACCAUCCUUUAGAUCCAAAUCAACCUUCAGUUUUUGCAUAAACCAUUGCCAAUUCUCGUUAUUUUCCACCUUUACAACAGCCCAAGCUAUUGGAUAAAUUGCAUUGUUUGCAUCUCUACCUAAAGCAACCAAUAACUGUCCCUUGAUUCUUUCUUUGAGGAAGCAACCAUCAAGUCCUAUCAAUGGCCUACAACUCUCCUUCCAAGUAUUCCUGAGGGCGUCAGAGCAAAUAUAGAUUCGAUUGAAGACAUCUUGACCUUCAUCAUUCUGGAACGUGUCUACUUCAACAGAAGAACCAGGAUUUGAUUCUACUAUCUCGGCAGCAUAAUCUUUAAGGCGUGCAAACUGUUGAUCAUGUUCACUCUUAAUCCACUUCAAAGCUUUAUUCCUACCAGCUUAACACUGAGGCCUAGACACACUAAUAGACCAAAUUGCCAUGAUCAAUUCCUCGAUCUUCAUAGGCAUAUAGUAUGCCGGCUCUUCACGGAUCUUGUUCACAAACAACCUAGCUAUCACAGGGACCUUCACCAUCUCACACUCUCCAUUAACCUCACAUGUGUGGUUAUCUACAAACAACCUAACUCUCCAAAUUUUAUCCCUCGGAAGGAUCGAAGCAUAAAUUUUCCAGCCACAAGCUUCAUCAUUCUCACCAUGACCAGCACAUUCGAAACCAAGCUUAUCCUUAUCAUACCUGUAUUGUCUGAUAUUGCAGCGAGUCCUAAGAGCAUAAUCGAGGACUCUGUCUUUGAAAGCCACACCAUUGAAGAAUGUCUGGUCUCGGUACAAAUGCCCAUCACCACGGCAUAUAUGCGUCCUCAUUCUCUGUGGGGCUUCAGGAUCUUCUUCUUCCUCAUUAUCUUCAUCACUCUCAGGCAAGACGUCAUGCUGAAUUGGCGGCUCACUCACGAAAUUUCCCAACAAUUCGUCGAGUUCAAACUCUUCUCGCUCAACUUCUUCAUCAUCAAUUUCGAACUCUCCUUCGCCGAUUAUAGGUACUACAGACAUGGUAAACACGAAUUCAAUCGAUUUCUUGUUGUUUUCUCUCAGGAAUUCUCUCCCACUCUCUCUAUUUCACGUUCUAGGGUUCUUGGGUUUUUGAUUUGGGGAUUUUUUGGGUUUAGAUAGAUUAGGAUGGUUAAGUCGGGUUAAAAAUAAUUAAGUUCGGUUAAGUCGAGAUUCGGUAUUACUAACCCGUCUUAACCAAACUAAUUAACCAACUAAACAUGGUUUUAUGUGGAUUUGAGUGUUUAACUUUUGUCGGGUGGAGAAAGAGAUAUUUAACUUUGAUAUGGUGGGUAUAUAGAUAUUUAACUUUCGUUUGGUGGGGAAAUGAAACGAGCCAAUAGUUUGAUGGAGAAAUAGUGCGACACCAUAGUUCCGGUGGGGAAAUAGAUCGCCAGCCCGUGAAUCUGCAGUGUACAAAAAGAUGAUCUGCCAUUUCUGUGUCUCCAGAGCGAGCACAUUUCACAUUGGUAGAUAAGAUUCCAUGACGUUGAAGUGCCUCCCCAAGUGGUAGUGCAUCUUGAAAGAUUUUCCACAUGAAGAUUUGCAUCUUUGGGGCUGUUUUACUGCCCAUGUAUUUAAAGUUAAAGUUGCAUAAAAUUCAAAAUAUCUUAUAUUUCGAAACACCAAAAAUAUUUCAAAACUUCAUAUAUAAUGAAACAAUAUAUAAGUGAACGUACGUAUACUAUUAUUAUUAUUUAUUUUUGCACAUAUUAUUAGCAUUAGUUACUUAGAGCAUGUUCAAUGGUAAAACUCUUAAAUGUCUCUUAAGUGGGAUCAGAUAAAGAGAGACAAACAAAAGAUGAAGAAGUAGUGGAAGCAACGUCCCUUUCUUUGCUUAAAUAAGGUACGUCCCUUCUCUUUUUUUUCUUUUUCUUCUUUAUUUUAAUUGUAAUUAUGCUUAACAACCCUUCUUCAACGGACACCAAUAAACCUGCUCUUAGCUUUUAUUGUAUUUGCUGAAAAAAAAAGUUACUUGUAUUUAUAUUAACCGGAAGAUUCAUUCGUGUAAGAUAGUAAAAUCCAGCGUCACAUAAACUUAUGACACUAAACAUAUGAACAGAACAAAUUUUACUCCUAAAAUUAUGGACCUAGAUUCUUGAAUAAAACAAUUUUUCAAUUUUCUACUUUCAAUUGCUUACCCUAAUGACCUAACCAUUCAAACCCGCUAAGUGUCAGUUUAGUUAAUGCGUAGAUGUAAUGACUAAUGAAUGAAAAAUUAGUCUAAAAUUGAUAUCUAUUCUAUUAAAACAGCAGUGUGACCCAUUGAUAAAAGUAGAGUCCAAUUAUUAUUUUUCCAAAAAACUGAUUAUUUUAUAACUGCUUAUAUUAAAUAACUAAUCACGUUUUUUGUCUAUAACAAUCAGUUAUGUUUCUUCAAUCACAACAAUGUCGGAUUCAUUGAUUUAGAUUUUAGACCUGAUCAAAACGCGUCCAUGGUGAUCGAUUCUCUGGCGAUUAUACGUUCCAUGGUGGUUCACUGUGUUGAUUUGUCAUAAUCGGACAAGAAAUCAGAAAAUUUAAAGUAACUGACUUUUUGCAUUUUAAAAGGUUGAAAUCAGAUAUUUUGUAAUGGAUUACAAGUUUAAGGCAUAAACAACAAGAAAAACUUAAAAGUUGAUCGAUUAUGAAAGUAUGGUGGCCAUUGAAAUGUUGCAGAGAAUUCUAAAAUAUUCUUAGGGAAGGUGGAAAUAUUUACAAAUAUGCCACUCAAAAAAAAAAAAAAACAAUACACACUACAUAAAUAUAUCUAUCGAAUACAAUAGUGUAAAAUGGCCCAAGCUUCCAACAGACCAAGAUUAUACUGUAUAUAUUAAAAAAACCUCUUUCUUAACUUAAUAUAUAACUACAUUUAUCUGAAACUUAAGAAAUAUAUUAUAAGAAAUAUUAAAUAUUUUGGAAUAUAUAUAAUAUUAAAUAUAUAUAUAUAUAUAUAUAUAUAUAUAUAUAAACCGGUGGAAAUAUAUUUUUUAAGUUUGUUUACUAUAAAAUGAAACUUUAAAAGUUAACUCAUAAAGUUAACUAAUAUUUUUUCAAACAGAAAAAGUUAACUAUAUUAAUAUUAAUUAGUGGUGGAACGGGUUAUUAAUGACAUUUAAUCUUUAUAAGUGAACUUUUAAUAGAAAUAAAUAUUCAUAUAAACUCAAUUAGUUUAACGGGGUUUUAAUAAGUUAUUCAAUUUAGAAAUCUAAUCUAUUAAAACAGCAGUGUGACCUAUUGAUAAAAAUAGUGUCCAACAAUUAUUUUCAUAUAUCAAUAUUAUUAAAACACAAUUAACACUAACUACUUUGUACGCUAAAUAACUUCCACUAUAAACUCCUAAAUAAUCGGGACCCACUUUUUAUAUAGCUAAAAAUGCUGAGUUACUUUAAUUCCAUAGUUUUCGUUCUUAUGUAAUAGUUUUCUAUAGCCACGUCAUUUUUAAUACAAUUAAUGCCAUAUCAUUUCAUCAAAAAAAAACUACCCAGUAAAAACUAUUUGAAACGAUGAAGAUAUCCAAUACGAUGUCAUCUAAAGAAGAGUAAAAUAUAUUUAUUUUUAUUUUAGCAUUUUAUUAGAAAUAAA